rnacentral:rRNA from 1 species
UACGUAGGGGGCAAGCGUUGUCCGGAAUCAUUGGGCGUAAAGAGCGUGUAGGCGGCUCGAUAAGUCUGCUGUGAAAGUCCAGGGCUCAACCCUGGAAGGCCGGUGGAAACUGUCGGGCUAGGGUCCGGAAGAGGCGAGUGGAAUUCCCGGUGUAGCGGUGAAAUGCGCAGAUAUCAGGAAGAACACCAACGGCGAAGGCAGCUCGCUGGGACGGAACUGACGCUGAGGCGCGAAAGCGUGGGGAGCGAACAGG